AGGGGGACCUUCGGGCCUCUCACUAUCGGAUGAACCCAGAUGGGAUUAGCUAGUAGGCGGGGUAAUGGCCCACCUAGGCGACGAUCCCUAGCUGGUCUGAGAGGAUGACCAGCCACACUGGAACUGAGACACGGUCCAAACUCAUACGGGAGGCAGCAGUGGGGAAUAUUGCACAAUGGGCGCAAGCCUGAUGCAGCCAUGCCGCGUGUAUGAAGAAGGCCUUCGGGUUGUAAAGUACUUUCAGCGGGGAGGAAGGCGGUGCGGUUAAUAACCGCGCCGAUUGACGUUACCCGCAGAAGAAGCACCGGCUAACUCCGUGCCAGCAGCCGCGGUAAUACGGAGGGUGCAAGCGUUAAUCGGAAUUACUGGGCGUAAAGCGCACGCAGGCGGUCUGUUAAGUCAGAUGUGAAAUCCCCGGGCUUAACCUGGGAACUGCAUUUGAAACUGGCAGGCUUGAGUCUCGUAGAGGGGGGUAGAAUUCCAGGUGUAGCGGUGAAAUGCGUAGAGAUCUGGAGGAU
rnacentral:rRNA from 1 species